rnacentral:lncRNA from 1 species
CUCCUGCAGAGGAGCUUUAUUGUGAUGGCCUCCCCGACCUGUUGGGGCCUCUAAAGUCCCUUCACCCCAAGGGACAGGAUACGGGGUGGGCCACUGGGGGCUGGCUAACGGUCCGCGCAGGCACAUCCCUUCAGCUACUGUUUGAAAAACUUUCUUUAUCCGUUUAUUUCUUUAGAGCUCGCAUGAGCGGAGGCAGGGGCAGAGGGCGAGGGAGAGAGCGAGAACCCCAAGCCGACUGCGCACGGAGCCCACCACGGGGCUCCAUCCCACAAGCCCACGAUCGUGGCCCGAGCUGAAAUCCAGAGUCGGAAGCCCGGCCCCCUGUGCCCCCCGGGCGCCCCCAUUCCUCAGCCGCUUUAACCGGUGCCCUCUCUGCCGACCUCACAGUUUCUCGUCUUUCACCUCUAUAAACAGUGCUGCGAAACCAGAAGCCAUGGCGAGAGGCAACCCCACCAUCAUCUCCGAAUUCCUCUUCAUGGGACUGUCAGAAGUGCCAGAGCAUCAGGCCUUCCUCCUCAGCCUGUUCUUAUCAACGUACCUGGUCACCACGGUGAGGAAUCUCCUCAUCAUGCUGGUCAUCAGUUCUUCCAAACACCAACCUCCUCACCCGCCACGAAUUCUUCAUAGCCAAGCUGUCCUGCAUCAACAUCUGCUUCAGCUCUGCCACUAGAUAAAAAAAAAUGCUGGUCAAAGAGCUGGUCAAAGUAAUAGUCACUAGCCAAAUGACAAGCUUCAAUAUUUCAUUCAUAGGAAAUAUUGAAAAUAUAUGAACCAAGCAUUUAACUCAAGAAAGUAGGAAAACAGCAGCGUCAACACAUGCAAAACAAAGAAGGGGGAAAAACUAACAACAAUAAAAGCAGUAAGCAUUCUGAACCCAUGUAGAAUGGGCCAGUGGAACCAAGUGCUGGUUCUUUGAAAAGACCCACAGUACAGAAGAAGUGACCGGGUGGAAAUUUGGCAGGUGGAUCAUAAAAGGCUCUCCAGCUUCACUUGCUUUCUCCUAGCUAACUCUCACCAGGGAAGCUCCUCAGGAGAUGAGAUCCAGGUGGUAGGAAACUGAAGCCGCCAGCCAACAACCAUGUGAGUGGCUUCUGUGAGCCGCUUCGGAAGCAGAUUUGCUAGACCAGCCCAGCCCUCAGGUGACUGUAGCACUGACCAACAACUUCACUGUGACCUCACGAAAGACCCUGUGCUAAAAACUACCCCGGCUACGCCACUCCUGGAACCCUGACUCUCAGAAACAACAGAUGUCUGUUCCUUUAAGCUACUAAAGUUUGGAGUAAUUUGCUAUGCAGUGACAGACAACAAUACACGUAAAGAAGACUAUUCCUGUUAGCCAAAGGGAUAAUAUCCUACGUUAGAUUCAACAAAUACUGCUACACACUCCUCCACAGAUGUAGUGCCUUUGCAUGCCCACAAUGUGUGAAAGUGCCUCUAUCUCCACAGUCUUGCCACCGCAGUAAACUGUCAAGACUUUUGAUUUUUGGCAAUCCAGUAGGUGAGAACUGGUAUCUCCAUGUAUUUUAGAUUUAUAUUUCUUUUUCUAAAAGAUUUUAUUUAUUUACUCAUGAGAGACACAGAGAGACAGCAAGAGAGGCAGAGACACAGGCAGAGGGAGAAGCAGGCUCCAUGCAGGGAGCCCGAUGUGGUACUCGAUCCCGGGACCCCAGGUAUACAUCCCCAGGCCGAAGGCAGACGCUAAACGGCUGAGCCACUCAGGGAUCCCAGCUUUAUAUUUCUGUUAUGAUUCAGCCUGAACACUUUUUUAUGUUUUUUUAAUAGAUUUUAUUUAUUUAUUCAUGAGACACACACACACACACAGAGGCAGAGACACAGGCAGAGGGAGAAGCAGGCUCCAUGCAGGAAGCCCGACAUGGGACUCAACCCCGGGCCUCCAGGAUCACACCCCAGGCUGAAGGCGGCGCUAAACCGCUGAGCCACCCGGGCUGCCCACUGUUUUAUAUGUUUAAGGACCAUUUGCAUUUCCUUUUCUGUGAACCAUCUGCUAAUAUCCCUUUGCCCAUUUUUCUUUUAUUUCCUAUCAAUAUUUAGCAGAUUUUUUUUAUAUGUUAGGGAUGUUAGCUCUUUGGAAGUGACAUACAUUGCAAAAGUGUUUUUCCUGUUUGUUAUUUCUCUCUCUUUCUCUCUCUCUCUCUCUCUCUCUCUUUUUUUUUUUUUUGCUUCUGGAGUGAUAUUUUGACAUGCAGACUAUUAGUAUCAUGAAAUUGGUCCUAACUUUCUCCAGGAUAUUCUAUUUCUUAACAGAAGACUUUAUUUAUUUGAGAGAUAUAUAGAGAGAGAACACAAUCAGAGGGGAGGAGCAGACGGAGAAGGAGAAGCCUACUCCCUGCUGAGCAGGGAGCCUGAUUUGGGGCUCAAUCCGGGACCCUGAGGUCAUGACCUGAGGCCUAAGACAGAUGAUUAAUUGAGCCGCUGAAGUGCCACUGGGAUAUUGUGUUUAGAAUUCUUUCUUUCUUUCUUUCUUUCUUUCUUUCUUUCUUCUUUCUUUCUUUCUUUCUUUCUUUCUUUCUUUCUUUCUUUCUUUCUUUUUUUUUCUUUUCUUUCUUAGAGAGAGAGAGAGAGAGAGAGAGGCAGAGACACAGGCAGAGGGAGAAGCAGGCUCCAUGCAGGGAGCCCGACAUGGGACUCCAUCCCAGGUCUCCAGGAUCACACCCUGGGCCGAUGGCCGAGCUAAGCCAUGGAGCCACCCGGGCUGCCCGGGAUAUUCUUUUGAAAUGUACAUAAUUCUAACGUUUAUCUGGAACAACAUGAAAAAGUAACCAGGAACCUGCUGAAAAAGGACCCUAAUGACCAGAGAAUAGCUAGUAGACCCAUCAAAAUGCCUACCAAUGCUAAAUGUAGUGAGAACAUGCUGUUGUGUUGUAUGUUUACACUAACACAGAGAAUAUUCCAGGAUGAUUUAGACCUGGAUAGAUACAGGAUGUUUUCCAAGAUCUUGAGGAAAAAUAAUUAUCAUGGGCAGAGGAGCUAAGAGCCCAGUGAUGCCGAGAGGACCGCCAGAAGCUUCACACAGAUGUUUCAGUCAUUUUCUCCAAAUGCCCUGAAAAUGACAAGAUGUGGCUGAGGAAGACACAGACACUCUCCCCUAAGUGGAAAACAAAACAGCCCAAGGAUCCUAAUCAUCUCAAGAGUCUUUCGGGCAUUCCCUUCUUUUACUAUAAGCAUUCUACUCUAGUCAAGGGGAACAUCUUUCUCUUUCCAUGGAAGAAGCUACAAAGAAACUGGGAGAAAUGAAUAGAUGAUGAGGUUGUUCGUAUUGGAAAAAAAUCUAGGGUGGAUAUUUGUUGCAUAAGCAGCUAAGAGAAACCAGAUGUAAAAAGAGAAAGAAAGAAAAUGGACUUCCAGGUUCUAGUUCAGCAUAUAAGAGAUUGGAAGUUGUCACUCUGUCCCAACAAUCAGCCAAAAGCCGAACAAACAAAAUCAAAAACCCUUGCUAGAAGUGUCAGAGAACCGGGGUUACGG